rnacentral:rRNA from 1 species
AGGCCCUUCGGGGUACACGAGCGGCGAACGGGUGAGUAACACGUGGGUGAUCUGCCUCGCACUCUGGGAUAAGCCUGGGAAACUGGGUCUAAUACCGGAUAUGACCUUACAUCGCAUGGUGUUUGGUGGAAAGAUUUAUCGGUGCGAGAUGGGCCCGCGGCCUAUCAGCUUGUUGGUGGGGUAAUGGCCUACCAAGGCGACGACGGGUAGCCGGCCUGAGAGGGCGACCGGCCACACUGGGACUGAGACACGGCCCAGACUCCUACGGGAGGCAGCAGUGGGGAAUAUUGCACAAUGGGCGAAAGCCUGAUGCAGCGACGCCGCGUGAGGGAUGACGGCCUUCGGGUUGUAAACCUCUUUCGACAGGGACGAAGCGCAAGUGACGGUACCUGUAGAAGAAGCACCGGCCAACUACGUGCCAGCAGCCGCGGUAAUACGUAGGGUGCGAGCGUUGUCCGGAAUUACUGGGCGUAAAGAGCUUGUAGGCGGCUUGUCGCGUCGAUCGUGAAAACUUGGGGCUCAACCCCAAGCUUGCGGUCGAUACGGGCAGGCUUGAGUACUUCAGGGGAGACUGGAAUUCCUGGUGUAGCGGUGAAAUGCGCAGAUAUCAGGAGGAACACCGGUGGCGAAGGCGGGUCUCUGGGAAGUAACUGACGCUGUUA